UAGAGCCUUCUGCUUCUGUCUCAUUG
rnacentral:piRNA from 1 species